rfam:Ictidomys tridecemlineatus contig044275, whole genome shotgun sequence.
GGGGAUAUAGUUCAGUUGGUAGAGUGUUUGCCUUUCAUGCGUAAGGCCCUGAGUUCUAUCCUCAGCAUCACAA